rnacentral:rRNA from 1 species
AACGAACGCUGGCGGCAGGCUUAACACAUGCAAGUCGAACGCAUCCUUCGGGGUGAGUGGCAGACGGGUGAGUAACGCGUGGGAAUCUACCCAGUUCUGCGGAACAACAGUUGGAAACGACUGCUAAUACCGCAUACGCCCUACGGGGGAAAGAUUUAUCGGAAUUGGAUGAGCCCGCGUUGGAUUAGCUAGUUGGUGAGGUAAUGGCUCACCAAGGCGACGAUCCAUAGCUGGUCUGAGAGGAUGAUCAGCCACACUGGGACUGAGACACGGCCCAGACUCCUACGGGAGGCAGCAGUGGGGAAUAUUGGACAAUGGGCGCAAGCCUGAUCCAGCCAUGCCGCGUGAGUGAUGAAGGCCUUAGGGUUGUAAAGCUCUUUCAGUGGGGAAGAUAAUGACGGUACCCACAGAAGAAGCCCCGGCUAACUUCGUGCCAGCCGCCGCGGUAAAAC